GAUGAACGCUAGCUACAGGCUUAACACAUGCAAGUCGCGGGGCAGCAUGGGGGUUGCUUGCAAUCCCCGAUGGCGACCGGCGCACGGGUGAGUAACGCGUAUCCAACCUGCCCUUCACCACGGGAUAACCCGGCGAAAGUCGGACUAAUACCGUAUGUUGUCCAUUGACGGCAUCCGAUUUGGACGAAAGGUUUGGCGGUGAAGGAGGGGGAUGCGUCCGAUUAGCGGGACGGCGGGGUGACGGCCCACCGGGGCGACGAUCGGUAGGGGUGCUGAGAGGAAGGUCCCCCACACGGGAACUGAGACACGGUCCAGACUCCUACGGGAGGCAGCAGUGAGGAAUAUUGGUCAAUGGGCGUAAGCCUGAACCAGCCAAGUAGCGUGCAGGAUGACGGCCCUAUGGGUUGUAAACUGCUUUUAUGCGGGGAUAAAGUGGCCCACGUGUGGGUUUUUGCAGGUACCGCAUGAAUAAGGACCGGCUAAUUCCGUG
rnacentral:rRNA from 1 species